rnacentral:rRNA from 1 species
GAUGAACGCUGGCGGCGUGCCUUAAGCAUGCAAGUCGAACGACGUGAUCGCAAGAUUUACGAGUGGCGGACGGGUGAGUAACACGUGGGAAUCUACCCUAAAGUGCAGGAUAACUAGCCGAAAGGUUAGCUAAUACUGCAUGUGAACGAAAGUUUAAAGCUCUUAACUGGGCGCUUUAGGAGGAGCCUGCGGUCUAUCAGCUAGUUGGUGAGGUAAAGGCUCACCAAGGCACGACGGAUAGCUGGUCUGAGAGGACGGACAGCCACAAUGGCACUGAGACACGGGCCAUACACCUACGGGUGGCAGCAACUGGGAAUCUUCCACAAUGGGCGAAAGCCUGAUGGAGCGACGCCGCGUGAAGGAUGAAGGCC